CUGCCUGCGUGCGCUCGGCUGCCGUGAGCGCUGUGCCGGCCUCCCUGCGGCUGUAGCGGGCUGGGUUCGCCGCGGUUACCGCCCUCGGGGGAGCCACACUGCGCUGCCUGCCGGUCCUUUGCUUCACUGCGUGGAAUGGUCUGAGUUGUGCGCUUAACCCACAGCCGACGCAGUCAGCAGGAGCAUCUUCACCUGCGCCCCGUCCAAACUGGAAUGGCGUCUGUCACCUCUGGGCGAAACGGCUCCAAAGCUGGGAUCUGUACAAAAUGUGCUUGGCAUAGCAAAGGAGGAGAGUACUCGUUCCCUAGGAGUGCCUGUUUCUUUCCCAUGGCUGGAGAGGGAAUCUAAAAGACUAUUCUCCUGGGCUGUGGAUGAGUUUACUACAAAACAAGGAGGACAUUGACUGGAUUAAUAUGCCACAGAGUUUUCUACACAACUGAAAUCACAGCAGGACUCCUGGCAUCACAAUAAAAGCA